rnacentral:snoRNA from 1 species
GUUGAGUGAUGAUACCCAGAAAGUUUCGCAUUCUGGACUGAGAUCCUGAUGAUUCUCUUGGCUGUCUGACAGA